rnacentral:tRNA from 1 species
GCCCAUGUAGCUCAGCUCGGAAGAGCGACUGGCUGUUAACCAGUAGGUCGCAGGUUCAAAUCCUGCCAUGGGCGCCA